rnacentral:lncRNA from 1 species
GUGAAUCAAUCUGCCAUGGGGCAAAAAUUCCCUGGGAGUGAGCAGCAAAGCCUGUGAGACUAAAUCUCUUAAAUGAAAUGAAAUCUAUCUUCAAAGGCUACGCAAAAUUUGAAGAAACAGCAGUGGAAAAGAAUGUUAAAUGCCUUCAUGACAGAAGUGAAGAUUGUAUCUGCACAAUAAACAGAGGAAGCAGAUAUAUUUUGCCAUCUCAGAGUUUUUGUCUAGCAAUUGUGGGACUUCUGGAUCUCCCUCCAAAUCAAAGUGACAAUGAAAGUUCCAGGGAUUGAACUCUGGACCUUCCACUUGCAAGGCAGGCGGCAGAACCACUCAGCUAAAUCCCUGACCCUUUACCAUUCCUUUUGAAAUAUAAUUAAACUCUUCUCUAAAAUCCCUGACUGUAACCAAGACUUUUAUUAUAAAAUUAUUUUUACUGUUUCCUAUUAAAAUAUUGCCUGUUCCUUAAACAACUUUUG